rnacentral:rRNA from 1 species
AGCGAACGCUGGCGGCAGGCCUAACACAUGCAAGUCGAGCGCCCAGCAAUGGGAGCGGCAGACGGGUGAGUAACGCGUGGGGAUCUGCCCAAUGGUACGGAAUAACCCAGGGAAACUUGGACUAAUACCGUAUGUGCCCUUCGGGGGAAAGAUUUAUCGCCAUUGGAUGAACCCGCGUCGGAUUAGCUAGUUGGUGAGGUAAAGGCUCACCAAGGCGACGAUCCGUAGCUGGUCUGAGAGGAUGAUCAGCCACACUGGGACUGAGACACGGCCCAGACUCCUACGGGAGGCAGCAGUGGGGAAUAUUGGACAAUGGGCGCAAGCCUGAUCCAGCCAUGCCGCGUGUGUGAUGAAGGCCUUAGGGUUGUAAAGCACUUUCGCCGGUGAAGAUAAUGACGGUAACCGGAGAAGAAGCCCCGGCUAACUUCGUGCCAGCAGCCGCGGUAAGAC